UACGUAGGGAGCAAGCGUUGUCCGGAAUCAUUGGGCGUAAAGCGCACGUAGGCGGCCUGUUAAGUCGGGUGUGAAAGCCCUGGGCUCAACCCAGGAAGUGCAUUCGAAACUGGCAGGCUUGAAUAUGGAAGAGGGUCGCGGAAUUCCCGGUGUAGAGGUGAAAUUCGUAGAUAUCGGGAGGAACACCAGUGGCGAAGGCGGCGACCUGGGCCGCAACUGACGCUGAGGAGCGAAAGCAUGGGGAGCGAACAGG
rnacentral:rRNA from 1 species